UUUCAAGUUUUGGCAGUUAGGAGCAAAGCUGCUAUGGACAUUUAUCUAUGGGAUUUUGUGGAUAUAUAUGUUUUCAACUCUUUUGAGUAAAUACCAAGGAACACAAUUUCUGGAUUGUAUGGUAAAAGUAUGUUUACUUUUUAAAGAUGCAAAAAAUUGUUUUCCAAAAUGGCUAUACCAUUUUACAUUCCCCAAAACAAUGAGAGUUCCUAUUGCAUCGUAUACUCACUAACAUUUGGUAUUGCAAGUAUUCUGGCUUUUGCAUUUCUAAUAGGCAUGUAGAAAUUUCUCAUUGUUUUAAUUUGUAAUUCUUUAAUGGCAUAUGAUGUUGGGCAUCUUUUUAUAAUCUUAUUGGCUAUGAAUAUGUCCUUUGGUGAGGUGUCUGUUCAAGUCUUUUGCCCAUUUUUAAGUCAGAUUGGUUUUUUGGGUGUGUUUUAAAAAUUCUUUGCAUAUUUUGGAGUAUGUUAUGGUUUAGAUCUAAUCUGACUCCCCAAAAGCUUCAUAUGUUUGGAAUGUGAAUGGAUCAUGGAGUGUUAUACUCAUUAGUGUAUUCAUCCAUUGGCAAGUUAAGUAGCUGAACAUGCUGUUAGGAAUUGGAGCCUGCUUGGAGGUGUGUUACUUGGGGUGUGAACUGGAAGAGUAUACUCUUGUCCACAAUUCUUCCUUUUUCUCUCUCUGCUUCCUGGAUGCCAUGGGAUGAGAGAUGCCCUUUAUCAUCCCGUCCAACAUGCUGCUUCUGCCUUGAAGCCUGCCCACUUUGGACUGAACCCACUGGAAACUGUGAGGAGAGAGCAUAGAAAAGGAUGUCAGCUGCAUCAUACAGACUGAAAUUUAGAUAUCAAUAGAACAGAUUGCCUGACAAUGUGAUCGAAUGUUCAAUAGGUUAAAAAGCUGGCCUGAAAUCUUUUCUUAGAGGCCUCAAAAAUAUUACAUUAACAAUUUUGGAAUGAGACCUUGAAGAGUAAACAUUAGUGAUUUUGAUUAAUCCUGUUUGGGAGAGCCGAGUUGGCCAAUGGUUGCAAUAGCUCAGGGCCUGGCGUGCACCUUCCUCCAGCUGCACACUGAGUCUCUUGCCAGCAAAAUUGAGCUGAUUGGACACAAAGCAGUUGUUUGUAAGUCCCAGUGAGCCUUUCUAUAUCUCAGAGCCUGGAGCUGCUUACAGUGCUUCCUGUGGACUUCAAGUUUGGACCAAAAAAACUUGAAAAAUCCAUCUGACAUGGACUGAUUCUUAAAAUCUGGAAUGUAAGAUGAUUUUCACAAAAGCAGAAGGCAAAGCGGAAAUCUCAGAGUACUAUAUGUCGUUGUGAAGUUUCGAGGCCUAAUAAUCUAUUUGUUUUUCUCUCAAAUUAAAUGGAUGAACAAUUUAUUGUGGAUGGUUUAUACCCUCUUAGCCAUCUUGCAGCAUUGUGAGCCCCUGCCCAGUCCUAUCAUCAAUUAUAGUUUUUGGUGGGAAAAAGAGUAUAAAUUAACUAUAUUCUCUUCAUUCAAGUAUUCUUUUAUUCUUUUAAAAAUCUAUCUUUGUGUGAGAAGGAUCUUAUUAAUCUUUUAAAAAAACCAGUGGUUUUUAUGAAAUCUUUUCAAUGACAUAUGUCACAUUUUAAUAUGUUCAUUGGUAUUAUAAAUUUUGUGUUUAUAAAUGUCUGUAAAAAUGUAUUGACAUAGAUGUUAUUAAACUCACAAACAGGAAAAAGAGAGAAUUUUUACUUAAUACAAGCUUUGUGUUAUGAUGCCCGCCAAGUUUCAUAUGGUGGGAAUUUUAGAAUGGUUGUUGAUUUUUAUUUUACCUAACAUAAAUUGUUAUUUAACCAGUAAUAAAUAAGAUAAGCAGCUAUUUCGAUGGCUAAUUGUUUGUACAUGUUUAUCUUUGUAUAUGUUUUCUAUUCUGACUCCCUUUUUAGAUUGGUAGUUUGUUUAAAUUAGUUACCUUAGGACCAAAAACAAUGAGAGCGUACCAGUUAUAGCCAGAAUAAAAAUACUGGUUCCUAUUAAAUGGAAUAAAUAGCUAUAAUUCUAGAUUCAUUAUUUUAAUGCAUAUGUACUUAACUUAGUCAUUCUGUUAUGUACUUAUUCAUGUAGUGGUUAGUUGAUGCCAGGAAUCAUGUUAAACACUGAUGAGGAACAGGUACGUAAAACAAAUAAAGUUCAUUAUACUAGUUAAA